AUGAAACUUUAUGCGCUAAAACAGGUAGCCAACUCGUGGGCCAUAGUCUGCUAACCCAAGGCCUAGAGUUAUUCUCACUGAGAGGCACAGCUCUGAGACAUCAGCAGUUGAUAUUCCCGGAAGCUGGGGGAUGAGUUCUUAACCCUCAAUUGCAGGUUUGGGCAGAGCACCAUAGGUGCGCUGCAGUUCCCGCCUCGCACGUUUCGGAUCUACAUGCUUCUUAUGGUAGAGUGAUUUAUCCGACUAGGAAUAGGAGAGGAAAAGGACACCGUAGACCACCCCCUUGCUCUCUCCAUUCUCUUGUGAAUAAGCUGCCUGAAGGGAACAUAUGUCCUUUUCAGUGCUGUAUGUGAGAAUUCAGCACUCUCUCUGCCUGCGUAGUAAGCUCAUUUUAACUUAAUGACCUCUUUCAAGUCGCUAUAUCCAAGUACAGUCACUUUCUGAGGUACUGGGUUUAGAACUUCAACAUACGAAUUUUGAGGGGACACAGUUCAGCCCGUACCACCACCUAGGAACCCAGUUCAGAGAUUUUCCUCUUCCGUUAGGUGAUCAUCAAGAACCGCUAUAUGGCUGUGAGCUGAGAGAGGCUCUCUCGACCAAGACCUGUGACUGCCUUAGUUGGAUAUUUAAUUCUCCUCGAAGUUUAGCCACUCUGACUAUUACAUCAUGGUCAGGAUCUUCAGUUUUCUCCAAUCCUACCAAUAGAGUUGCUGAGAGCUUCUUUGUAUGCAACCUUAAAGUCCCUGGGGUUCCACAACUGGCUUUGAAUUGCCGCUUCCUUACCCAUGGCUAUUGAUAAUCUUUUUGUAGAGCAUUACUGGUUCAAUACUAAUAGCUACUGUUUCCUCCAAACGCCUCCAAAGCCUGAGACAGAUUCAUUCGCUUUCACCAGCACGCCCUCCCAGUGCACUGCCAAUGAAAGUUUUGCAAUAAGUUCUGCACACCAGGGGCUGCCUGU
rnacentral:lncRNA from 1 species